AACGCACAUUGCGCCCCUUGGUGUUCCGGGGGGCAUGCCUGUUCGAGCGUCAUUUCAACCCUCAAGCUUUGCUUGGUCUUGGGCUCUGCCGGCAACGGCUUGCCUUAAACCCAGUGGCGGUGCCAUUCGAGUUCUACGCGUAGUAGUAAAACCCUCGCGAUUGAGCUUGGUGGAUGCCGGCCAGCAACCCCUUAUUUUCUAUGGUUGACCUCGGAUCAGGUAGGGAUACCCGCUGAACUUAA
rnacentral:misc_RNA from 1 species